rnacentral:rRNA from 1 species
UACGUAGGGCGCAAGCGUUAUCCGGAAUUAUUGGGCGUAAAGAGCUCGUAGGCGGUUUGUCGCGUCUGCCGUGAAAGUCCGGGGCUUAACCCCGGAUCUGCGGUGGGUACGGGCAGACUAGAGUGCAGUAGGGGAGACUGGAAUUCCUGGUGUAGCGGUGAAAUGCGCAGAUAUCAGGAGGAACACCGAUGACGAAGGCAGGUCUCUGGGCUGUAACUGACGCUGAGGAGCGAAAGCAUGGGGAGCGAACAGG